GAAACUGCGAAUGGCUCAUUAAAUCAGUUAUGGUUUAUUUGAUGGUACCUUACUACUUGGAUAACCGUAGUAAUUCUAGAGCUAAUACAUGCAGGAAGUCCCGACUUCGGAAGGGAUGUAUUUAUUAGAUAAGAAACCAAUCCGGCUUGCCGGUUGCGUGCUGAGUCACAAUAACUGCUCGAAUCGCAUGGCCUUGCGCCGGCGAUGGUUCAUUCAAAUUUCUGCCCUAUCAGCUUUCGAUGGUAGGAUCGAGGCCUACCAUGGCGUUAACGGGUAACGGAGAAUUAGGGUUCGAUUCCGGAGAGGGAGCCUGAGAAAUGGCUACCACAUCCAAGGAAGGCAGCAGGCGCGUAAAUUGCCCGAAUCCUGACACAGGGAGGUAGUGACAAGAAAUAACAAUACAGGGCUAUUUUAGUCUUGUAAUUGGAAUGAGUACAAUUUACAUCUCUUCACGAGGAUCAAUUGGAGGGCAAGUCUGGUGCCAGCAGCCGCGGUAAUUCCAGCUCCAAUAGCGUAUAUUAAAGUUGUUGCAGUUAAAACGCUCGUAGUCGGAUUUCGGGGCGGGGCCGCCGGUCUGCCGAUGGGUAUGCACUGGCGGGCGCGUCCUUCCUUCCGGAGACUGGCCCUACUCUUAACUGAGCGGGGUCGGGAAUCGGAUCGUUUACUUUGAAAAAAUCAGAGUGUUUCAAGCAGGCAGCUCGCUCUUGCAUGGAUUAGCAUGGGAUAAUGAAAUAGGACUUUGGUGCUAUUUUGUUGGUUUCGAACACCGAAGUAAUGAUUAACAGGGACAGUCAGGGGCACUCGUAUUCCGCAGAGAGAGGUGAAAUUCUCAGACCCGCGGAAGACGAACCACUGCGAAAGCAUUUGCCAGGGAUGUUUUCACUGAUCAAGAACGAAAGUUAGGGGAUCGAAGACGAUCAGAUACCGUCGUA
rnacentral:rRNA from 1 species